UGCAGUUAUUCUUUUUGUUCUCAAGCAUAUCUCCGCCAACUCAACCGCCAACGAAGCGGAAAAAUAUGACAUAAUAAAGUUUCUGAACACAACCGAGAAGAUAUGGCUAUAUAAUACAAGCGCAACAACACGUCUCUUUUGUAGAUUUGACAGUAAUUUUCAAAUGAACGACACGGCUGUGUCUUUUGACAAGUUCUACUGGCAUAAGAAGUGGGCGAAGAAGAGAUUUGUAGGAGUGCUCCGCAGUUGGGACUCAGCAUACAAAACAGGCAGACUCUAUGACAGUAUGGAUGUUUUAACCACGGAUCGCCGUCAUAAAUGGGUAGAAAUAUUGGUAUACCAGAACACUGAGAGCACGUGUGCUGUAUUCAGACUGAUGUACACGAAGGACGGUAAGAUAAAAUUCAGUACUGAACUUCGUGUUAAGAAUUCUGCCAUUGAUAGCGGACCUGACCAAAACUGCUCAACAGAGUUCCAAAGUUAUCUCGAAGGAAGGACUCCGAAACAAGUAUAUCAUCCUAAAUGCAAAAAUGAUACUGACUUGAUUGGUGACGC
rnacentral:lncRNA from 1 species